rnacentral:lncRNA from 1 species
AGACCAGGGAGAGGUAAAGGGAGGCUGAGACUGCCGCAUAGGCUGCCCUUCAAAGACAGACAUUUUACUUGCAGCAAAAUGUAAGUACAGUUCUUCCUUAAAAUAAUAUCUGUGUCUCAACUGUCGCUCCGAAAACCUCAUCUUUACGGCUCCUGUCUCCCACCUCCUCCUGCUGCAUCAUUAAAAUCCGGUGCCACUAAAUGAGGCCACGGUUUGAAGCUAGCAUUUCAUGGGGCAGAAAUGGUUUUGGAAGAACAUCUGCAAUUGUGGCUACGAGAACAUUGCAUCUAAAAGCAAAGGGGGCAUUAGGCACAUUUGUUGUGACAUUAUAGCUAAAUGGCAUCCCACAUCUGAAUAUUCUUCACCCCUGAAGUGGCUAAUUUAUUUCUCUUUCCUCAAUCAGUCCUCGCCAUAGAUUCACAGGCCCCUCCUUGUUUAAGAGCAAGGUAAUAUCCUCACUAAUUCCCUUCCUGUAUCUGCUAAUUAUGGCUACUGUGCAAACCUUCUUUCUAGAGCAAAUCUCCUGUAUAUUGUAUUCACUCUGGAACUCCCAGUGUCUAUACCAAACUACACAUCUUUUCUCUUCUGUAAGACCAGAUAUAAUUGUGUUGGGUCUGAGCUGGGAGGAUAGGCAUUUCACGGUUUUUUCUUUAAAAUCAGCAUGUGAAUAUAUAUCUCAGUAUGUGUUUACCUCUGGAAUAAUCUAGUAAUACAUCAGUUUAAAAGGCAGAGGAUUGAUUUAGGUCCAAUAUGAAGGCUGUAGGAUAUUCACAAGUAGCUGAAAAGGCUAAUGAGCUCCUUGCCAGUGAAGAUAAGUGGUCGCAAGAUAAGCAACCACAGAGUGAAAGGGUGAUCCAGCUAUUUGCAGUUUAUACAAUCCUGGUUUAUACAGAAUUUCCAGCAAAGGGUUCAUCUUAGCAGCCACUGAAGCAUUUAACUAGACAUUCUUAGACCUGUCAGAAUCCUGAGGUCUCCCUGGAAUUCCACAUACCACAUGAGCGCUAAUAAACUCCCGUUGGAGCAUUCAGUCCC